ensembl:lncRNA
CUCCAGAGGAGCAAAGCAGAUCAUAGAGACAGCACCUCAGGAAUGAUCUGGGUACCAAUUCUGGAGAUAAGGCUGGAGCCGAUCACCAGAGCACAAGGGUGGAGUGGGAGUGAUGACGCAGAUCCCAUGCGCUGUGCGGCGCUCUCAGGAAUCCUCACCGCCUCUGGUCACCUGGGCCCGGACUUGUAGCUCUGGCUCUGCCUUCCCAGUUUCCAGCGGAAAAGGGCAGAAGCCUAUGGCUGGUCCUUUUUUCAAAGGAUUGUUUUGGUACCAGAUGCAGACUCUGACACACGGUGCAUGUGGCCCAGCUAGAUUCGCUUUGAGAAAUACGUGCUGCAGGCGUUGGUGUGGAAUGUCUCAAGUUUGUCUUCAUGUGACCGAACCAGACUUGGGUCCAUUUACCCAUGUGCAGUAAAGCCAUUCUACUGAC